GGUGAGAUGGCCGAGCGGUCUAAGGCGCUGCGUUCAGGUCGCAGUCUAUUCGUAGGCGUGGGUUCGAAUCCCACUCUCAUCA
rnacentral:tRNA from 2 species